rnacentral:tRNA from 1 species
GCUCUUGUAGCACAGUGGCAGUGCGACCGCUCGAUAAGCGGUUGACGCAGGUUCGAUUCCUGACUGGAGCACCA